rnacentral:rRNA from 1 species
ACAACCAGGAUGUUGGCUUAGAAGCAGCCACUCAUUAAAAGAGUGCGUAAUAGCUCACUGGUCGAGUGACUCUGCGCCGAAAAUUUAACGGGGCUAAACUAUACACCGAAGCUUGGGAUACAUCUAAUGUAUGGUAGGAGAGCGUUCUGUAUGGGGAGAAGUCGUAGCGAAAGCGGCGGUGGACUAUACAGAAGUGAGAAUGCCGGAAUAAGUAGCGAGAAUUAAGUGAGAAUCUUAAUGGCCGAAAGUCUAAGGUUUUUGGAGGAAGGUUCGUCCGCUCCAAGUAAGUCGGGAGCUAAGGUCAGGCCGAAAGGCGUAGCCGAUGCACAUACGGUUGAUAUUCCGUAACCAUCUGUAAUUUAAGCAAAGGGACACUUCAAAAGGGUGUGACCCGGGCGUUGGUUGACCCGGGCGUAAGGGACCGAAAUUAGAGUAGGGAAGCACACUUAGCUGAAGGCGAGAAAAGCUUUGCGUAUAGAAACAGAUGCCCGUACCGCAAACCGACACAGGUGGACAGGAAGAGAAUUCUAAGGCCAGCGGGAGAAGGGUAGUUAAGGAACUCGGCAAAUUGACUCCGUAACUUCGGAAUAAGGAGUGCUCGAAAGAGCCGCAGAGAAUAGGCCCAGGCGACUGUUUAGCAAAAACACAGGUCUCUGCCAAAUCGAAAGAUGAAGUAUAGGGGCUGACACCUGCCCGGUGCCGGAAGGUUAAGAGGAGGAGUGAGAGCUCCGAAUUGAAGCCCCGGUAAACGGCGGCCGUAACUAUAACGGUCCUAAGGUAGCGAAAUUCCUUGUCGGGUAAGUUCCGACCCGCACGAAUGGUGUAACGAUCUGGGCACUGUCUCAACUACCCACCCGGCGAAAUUGUAGUACCGGUGAAGAUGCCGGUUACCUGCGGCAAGACGGAAAGACCCCAUGGAGCUUUACUGUAGCCUGAUAUUGGGUUUCGGAAAUCUAUGUACAGGAUAGGCGGGAGACUGGGAAACAUGAGCGUCAGCUUGUGUGGAGUCGAUGUUGGGAUACCGCCCUUAGGUUUCUGGAAUUCUAACCUGCGGCCGUGAAUCCGGUCGGGGGACAUUGUCAGGUGGGCAGUUUGACUGGGGCGGUCGCCUCCGAAAAGGUAACGGAGGCGCUCAAAGGUUAGCUCAGCACGGACGGAAACCGUGCCUCUGAGUGUAAACGCAAAAGCUAGCCUAACUGCGAGGGUGACGGCCCGAGCAGUAACGAAAGUUGGAGUUAGUGAUCCGGCGGUAUGUGAAUGGAAAUGCCGUCGCUCAACGGAUAAAAGCUACCCUGGGGAUAACAGGCUGAUCUCCCCCAAGAGUCCACAUCGACGGGGAGGUUUGGCACCUCGAUGUCGGCUCAUCACAUCCUGGGGCUGUAUUCGGUCCCAAGGGUUCGGCUGUUCGCCGAUUAAAGUGGUACGCGAGCUGGGUUCAGAACGUCGCGAGACAGUUCGGUCCCUAUCUGUCGUGGGCGCAGGAUAUUUGAGGAGCUCUGUCCUUAGUACGAGAGGACCGGGAUGGACGUACCUCUGGUGCACCAGUUGUCAUGCCAAUGGCACGGCUGGGCAGCUAUGUACGGAACGGAUAAACGCUGAAAGCAUCUAAGCGUGAAGCCGACUCCAAGAUUAGAUAUCCCAUCGUAUAACGAGUAAGACCCCUUGAAGACUACGAGGUUGAUAGGCUGCGUGUGUAAGUGCCGUGAGGCAUUCAGCUUGGCAGUACUAAUAGGUCGAGGGCUUGACCAC